UGGGGAAUAUUGGACAAUGGGCGCAAGCCUGAUCCAGCCAUGCCGCGUGAGUGAUGAAGGCCCUAGGGUUGUAAAGCUCUUUCACCGGUGAAGAUAAUGACGGUAACCGGAGAAGAAGCCCCGGCUAACUUCGUGCCAGCAGCCGCGGUAAUACGAAGGGGGCUAGCGUUGUUCGGAUUUACUGGGCGUAAAGCGCACGGAGGCGGACUAUUAAGUCAGGGGUGAAAUCCCGGGGCUCAACCCCGGAACUGCCUUUGAUACUGGUAGUCUUGAGUUCGAGAGAGGUGAGUGGAAUUCCGAGUGUAGAGGUGAAAUUCGUAGAUAUUCGGAGGAACACCAGUGGCGAAGGCGGCUCACUGGCUCGAUACUGACGCUGAGGUGCGAAAGCGUGGGGAGCAAACAGG
rnacentral:rRNA from 1 species